GUUUGUAAACUCACCAAUCAGCACCCUGUGUCUAGUUCAGAGUUUAUGGAUGCACCAAUCAGCGCUCUGUGUCUAGCUAAUCUGGUGGGGACUUGGAGAAUCUGUCUAGCUAAGGGAUUGCGAAUACACCAAUUGGCGCUCUGUAUCUAGCUCAAGGUUUGUGGAUGCACCAAUCAGCACUCUGUGUCUAGAUCAAGGUUUGUAAGUGCACCAAUCAGCGCUCUGUGUCUAGCUGAUCUGGUGGGGACCUGGAGAACCUUUAUGUCUAGCGAAGGGAUUGCGAAUACACCAAUCGCCACCCUGUAUCUAGCUCAAGGUUUGUAAAUGCACCAAUCAGCACUCUGUAUCUAGCUAAUCCAGUGGGGAUGUGGAGAACUUUUGUGUUUAGCUCAGGGAUUGUAAACACACCAAUCAGCACCCUGCCAAAACGGGCCAAUCAGUUCUCUGUAAAACAGACCAAUCGGCUCUCUGUAAAAUGGACCAAUCAGCAGGAUGUGGGUGGGGCCAGAUAAGUGAAUAAAAGCAGGCUGCCCAAGCUCGCAGUGGCAACCCACUCAGAUUCCGUUUCAUAGUGUGGAGGUUUUGUUCUUUCACUCUGCAGUAAAUCUUACUGCUGCUCAGUGUUUGGGUCUGUGCUACCUUUAUGAGCUGUAACACUCACGGUGGAAGCCUGCAGUCUCACUCCUGAGGCCAGGGAGACCACGAACCCACCAGGAGGAAUGAACAACUCCGGAGGCGCAGACUUAAGAGCUGUAACACUCACCGCGAAGGUCUGUAGUUUCACUUUUGAACCAGCGAGACCAUGAACCCGCCAGAAAGAAAAAACUGCCAACACAGCCGGACAUCAGAAGGAACAAACUGGGGACACGCUGCCUUUAAGAAACAUAACAGAACUUUUUCUGAGAGCCUAUCGUGUCCAUGGAGAGCAGCUGAGGUAAAUCCUGGAGGUGACUGUCCCCCUAGGAGAUGAUGUGGAUGGGGAAAUAGUUCAUACGCAGCUCAGCGACCUUGAAGCGGCAUCCGAGGAGAUGUGGCCACGGGGCAGGCGACCGACACCAGCGAGUCCAGAGGGCCAGCGUGUGCACCACUGUGUGUCUCCAGAGACUUCAGGAAGCAGCCACCACGCCCGAGGAAUGCAGGAAGAUGGACACACGGCUGGGGAAGUACAAUGAAAGGCCAAGUAGGCAGCCUGUUCUCCUCAGAUCAGUCCCCCACGAACACUCAUUCCCGAGGACUCAUCCAAUACUAAUAAGAGAAUGCUCUUGUUUUUGAAGAAUUUUCUGAAAGCCAUCCUGACAAAUUAAGUAGAGUAUGCUGAAGAUAGUCAGACUUUGUUUUUAAGAAUUGAAUAUUCUGGAAGAGGCUCUUCAGUCCAAUCUUUAGUUCUCUCCACAGAGCAAACGAAGUGAAGUGCUGAAGGCCUGGAGCCCGAGCUGUUCCCACACGGACUCCAGGACAGUUAAGGCAGGGUUGCCUUAACUAAAUCUCUGACAACUGUUUCUUCUGUCUUUCUCCUAAAAAUGGAAUGCAGGCCAUCUAUUCUAGGGAAAUAAAGGAUUCUAGUUAUGUGAAUCCAGGAGCUUUUUUUGUUUGUUUGUUUGAGACAAAGUCUCGCUCUAUCGCCCAGGUUGAAGUGCAGUGGCUCCAUCUCGGCUCACUGCAACCUCCGCC
rnacentral:lncRNA from 10 species